AUGGCUCAGGAUGAACGCUGGCGGCGUGCUUAACACAUGCAAGUCGAACGGAGUAUGUUAACCGAGACCUUCGGGUCUCACCUGAUAUACUUAGUGGCGGACGGGUGAGUAACGCGUGAGCAACCAACCUUAUGCAGAGGGAUAACAAUUAGAAAAUGAUUGCUAAUACCUCAUAAGACCACGCUAUCGCAUGGUAAAAGUGGGAAAAAACUCCGGUGGCAUAAGACGGGCUCGCGUUCGAUUAGCUAGAUGGUGGGGUAACGGCCUACCAUGGCGACGAUCGAUAGCCGGACUGAGAGGUCGACCGGCCACAUUGGGACUGAGACACGGCCCAGACUCCUACGGGAGGCAGCAGCGGGGAAUAUUGCACAAUGGGGGAAACCCUGAUGCAGCGACGCCGCGUGAGUGAAGAAGUAUUUCGGUAUGUAAAGCUCUUUUAGCAGGGAAGAUGAUGACGGUACCUGCAAGAAAAAGCCCCGGCUAAAUACGUGCCAGCAGCCGC
rnacentral:rRNA from 1 species